rnacentral:rRNA from 1 species
AUUGAACGCUGGCGGCAUGCCUUACACAUGCAAGUCGAACGGCAGCACGGGAGCAAUCCUGGUGGCGAGUGGCGAACGGGUGAGUAAAGUAUCGGAACGUGCCCAGUCGUGGGGGAUAACGUAGCGAAAGUUACGCUAAUACCGCAUACGAUCUAUGGAUGAAAGCGGGGGAUCGCAAGACCUCGCGCGAUUGGAGCGGCCGAUAUCAGAUUAGGUAGUUGGUGGGGUAAAGGCUCACCAAGCCGACGAUCUGUAGCUGGUCUGAGAGGACGACCAGCCACACUGGGACUGAGACACGGCCCAGACUCCUUCGGGAGGCAGCAGUGGGGAAUUUUGGACAAUGGGCGAAAGCCUGAUCCAGCCAUGCCACGUGCAGGAUGAAGGCCUGCGGGUUGUAAACUGCUUUUGUACGGAACGAAAAGGUUUGGCCUAAUAAGCUGAGCUCAUGACGGUACCGUAAGAAUAAGCACCGGCUAACUACGUGCCAGCCGCCGCGGUAA